rnacentral:rRNA from 1 species
CCCCCAAGCUUUUCAUCCCUUCACCGUCGAGGCGCGUUCUGGGUGGACCGCCUUUGCCCACUUGGUGGUUCUUCUACGGAUCAAAAGGAUUUUUACCCCUACGUAGAAGUACCGUCCACCUCUNCCNGCUUUCCUAGUCCCGCGGUAUCUCUUGCAGGCCAACGGGUUAAGCCGUUGGAUUUUAACAGAAGACCUACGGAACAGGCUACGGAUGCUUUAGGCCCAAUAAUCGCCCCGACCACUCGAGGAGCUGGUAUUACCGCGGCGGGCUGACACCAGACUUGCCCUCCCCUUAUUCACUGGCCGUUUUAGAGCCAACAAAAGAUCCCCUCAGCGGGGACCACUCGGAUUAACCUCGUCACGCUUUCGCGCAUUGCGAAGGUUUCGCGCCUGCUGCGCCCCGUAGGACCUGGACCCUUCUCUCAGUGUCCAUCUCCGGGCCCCCUCUCUCAAGGCCCGUACCGGUUACAGGUUUGGUGGGCCAUUACCCCACCAACAGCCUGAUCGGCCGCAGUCCCAUCCUAGAGCAAAUGCACAAAAGAAGCUCGCGCACUCCUUUAAGCCAUCUCUCCUUCCGGAUGAGAUGACCUAUCAUGGAAUUAAUCCCAGUUUCCCGGGGUUGUUCACGUCUCUAGGGCAGGUUGACUACGUGUUACUGAGCAGUAAGGGCGAAUUCCAGCACACUGGCGGCCGUUACUAGUGGAUCCGAGCUCGGUACCAAGCUUGGC